UACGGAGGGUGCAAGCGUUAUCCGGAUUCACUGGGUUUAAAGGGUGCGUAGGUGGGUUGGUAAGUCAGUGGUGAAAUCUCCAGGCUUAACUUGGAAACUGCCAUUGAUACUAUCAAUCUUGAAUACCGUGGAGGUCAGCGGAAUAUGUCAUGUAGCGGUGAAAUGCUUAGAUAUGACAUAGAACACCAAUUGCGAAGGCAGCUGGCUACACGAAUAUUGACACUGAUGCACGAAAAGCGUGGGGAUCAAACAGG
rnacentral:rRNA from 1 species